rnacentral:rRNA from 1 species
UUCCAGACUCCUACGGGAGGCAGCAGUGGGGGAUAUUGCACAAUGGGGGAAACCCUGAUGCAGCGACGCCGCGUGGGUGAAGAAGCGCCUCGGCGCGUAAAGCCCUGUCAGCAGGGAAGAAAAUGACGGUACCUGACUAAGGAGCCCCGGCUAACUACGUGCCAGCAGCCGCGGUAAUACGUAGGGGGCAGGCGUUAUCCGGAUUUACUGGGUGUAAAGGGAGCGUAGACGGUCCUGCAAGCCAGAUGUGAAAGCCCGGGGCUCAACCCCGGGACUGCAUUUGGAACUGUAAGGCUAGAGUGUCGGAGAGGCAGGCGGAAUUCCUAGUGUAGCGGCGAAAUGCGUAGAUAUUAGGAGGAACACCAGUGGCGAAGGCGGCCUGCUGGACGAUGACUGACGUUGAGGCUCGAAAGCGUGGGGAGCAAACAGGAUUAGAUACCCCCGUA